rnacentral:rRNA from 11 species
AACUCAAAUGAAUUGACGGGGGCCCGCACAAGCGGUGGAGCAUGUGGUUUAAUUCGAUGAUACGCGAGGAACCUUACCUGGGCUUAAAUGGGAAAUGACAGUUUAGGAAACUAGACCUUCUUCGGACAUUUUUCAAGGUGCUGCAUGGUUGUCGUCAGCUCGUGCUGUGAGGUGUCGGGUUAAGUCCCAUAACGAGCGCAACCCCUAUCUUUAGUUGCCAGCGAGUAAUGUCGGGGACUCUAGAGAAACUGCCGGUGCAAACCGAGAGGAAGGUGGGGAUGACGUCAAAUCAUCACGGCCCUUACGUCCAGGGCUACACACGUGCUACAAUGGCGUAUACAGAGGGUAGCGAGCGGGUGACCGUAAGCCAAUCUCGGAAAGUACGUCUCAGUUCGGAUCGGAGUCUGCAACUCGACUCCGUGAAGUCGGAAUCGCUAGUAAUCGUGAAUCAGAAUGUCACGGUGAAUACGUUCCCGGGCCUUGUACACACCGCCCGUCGCACCAUGGGAGUUGGUUUUACCCGAAGGUGGUGCGCUAACCGUAAGGAGGCAGCCAACCACGGUAAGGUCAGCGACUGGGGUGAAGUCGGAACAAGGUAGCCGUAGGGGAACCUGCGGCUGGAUCAC